rfam:Desulfotomaculum reducens MI-1, complete genome.
AAAAUUAAAAGGCAAACUUUCCGAAAGGAAAGGACGCAAAGCCACGGGCCUAAGGACAUUGUCUAUGGUAGCCGGGCCGCCUUA